GCCAGUGUGGCAUAGCGGUUUGAGUGUUGGACUAUGACUCCAGAGACCAGGAUUCUAUUCCCUGCUCUGCCA